GCGAAAGUGGCGGAAUUGGCAGACGCGCUGGAUUUAGGAUCCAGUGUCCACAAGACGUGGGGGUUCGAGUCCCCCCUUUCGCA
rnacentral:tRNA from 1 species